UGACCUGUGCAGGGGCGGGGCCCGAGGUGUCUCCGGAGGGCUUCCGGGAGGCCGCGUGCCGGGGGUGGGGCUCUAGCCUGAGGUUCCAGAGGUUCCAGCGGAAGUCGCCCCGCAGCCUCCCGGGUGGGCAGGGCUGGGUGCUCUCGGAGCUGCUGGCUGUGGACACCCGACCUCUAGCCUUUAUGCAGCUGCACCGGUACAACUUUUUCUCUGACCUGGCGGGUGGGGCAGGGAGCACCGGCUACAAAGGCAGCAAAUCCUGGGCUGGACAGCGAAAUAGAGGGAAUUUAAAAUAUUGAGGUGUGAAGAUAGCAUUUUGCAAUCAAAAAGAACCUUUACCCCGCUGGGACAAAAGAAUGGCUCGUAGUCUUCUGGCUCCAUUCCUCCAUCCCGAAAAUCGAAGGCAUAAAUGUCCUGCACGGACAGGUGCAGGACAACUACAGGCAACACCCGGGGAAAGCGCCUGAGAUGAUGGCGGCUAAGAAACAUUCCUGAUUUGUGAUUGUAAUUGUGUUAGGUUGGGAAGCACCUGGUAAGAGUUCAUGGGAGCCUCCCAUGUGACUUGCUAAGCAGGUGUAGAAACCUCAGCUCGCAUUUGAGCCUAUGGUUUACCUCUGCUCUAAUCCACAGCUGGUAGCUUUCUGCAUAUCUGAUCUGAGAGUUGCGUAAAUAACUCACACGCAUAUUAAUCAAGUUACUUAUUAAGUUGUUGUAGGAGCUGAAGAGAUGAGUUAGCAGUAAGUAACACUGCCUGCAAGGGGUUAGAUUGCCAGCACCCAAAUGGCAGUUCACAACUGUCUGUAAUCCCAGGUCAAAGGGAUGCUACAACCUUUUCUGGCCUCCAAGGGCAUCAGGAAUGUGCAUAAAUAUGCUUACAUACAGGCAAAUACCCAUAACACGUUUUAAAAAAACAAAAUGUGUUAAAUAGGCUUUUUUUUUAUUUCAACUGGUUUAUAGAGCUAGUCAGGUAUGUCCAAGAUUAAUGUUCUCAGAGAUAGGCUUCUAUGACAGGAGGUGUUUGCAACUUUGUGCCAUAAUCUAAACUAAAAAAAAGUGAGCUGCAAGAGUCUGGAAUUCAAGUUCCCAGGAGGCAAAAGCAAAAGGCUCAGGAAUUCAAAGUAAGCCUGGGCUGCAUAGUGAAACUGCUUCUAAAAAUAAAUACUAAGUAAAAAUAAAAAUAAUUUUCAAGUGAGAUUAACCUGCACUGUGGCAUGGUUUUAGACACAGGGUGGCAAUCCUUUUCACUAAGAAUAGUAAAGGACGCUACCAGCUCAAGCAGAGAGAUUCAGCUUCUACAAAAUGUAUAACUAUCUACCAGGUAUUGUGCAAACUGUCCUCUAGACAUGACUUUUAUGAGUUCGUGUCUUACAAAAGUACACUCCAGGCAUGAAAACAUAUAUUUCAGUUUUCUCAGUAAUAUGGAAAAAACUCCCAACUUAGUAGCUAUAAAUUUGAGAAUGACUAAAUAAGCUAUUUUGGGUUUUUUUCUCUGUAUGAUAUGUGUGCCAAGGUGUGGGCAUGUGUGUGUUGGUGAAUAUGUGUAUUGGUGUGUGUAAACAAAUGUGUACAGAUAUGUUCAGGCAUGGACACUUGACCCGUGUAAAUACCUGGAGAAACUCAACUUUUUUUUCAAGUUAGAAAUACUCCUCCAUUGCUUAUCUGCCUUAUUUUUUGAAGUAAGAUCUCUCAAUUGAGCCCAAAGCUCACCAAUAGAGCUAGUUUUGCAAAGCAGCUUGCUUUAGAGAUCCCUCUUUUCCACCUUCUCAAGCUGGAAUUAGAGGAGCCAUCACACCCACGCAGCAUUUAUAUAUGUUCUGAGGAUUUGAACUCAAUAGAGUUCUCUUGCUGGCAUGGCAAUUUAGCCAUCUCACUGCCCUAAACUAAAAUAAAGCCGACUACUGUUAAAGUAUGCUAUUCUUUUUAAAAAUAGAAAGAGGUAUCGCUAUUGGUACUCUUGUCACUCCUAUGACUCCUCUGAAAAUUACUCCCACAAUUAUUCACUAUGAAAUAACCAUGUGUUAUGUGUGCUGCCUAGUCUUAACUUGACAUAAGCUAGAGUUGUGUGAAAAGAGGGGACCCCCAGUGAGAAAAUGCCUCCAUAAAAUCAGGCUGUAAGGUAUUUUCUUAGUGGUUGAUGUGAGAGGGACCAGCCCAUUGUGGGUGCUGCCAUUCCUGGGCUGGUGGUCCUGGCACCUAAAAGAGAGUAUGCUGAGCAAUCCGUGGGGAGCAAGCCAGUAAGCAGCACCCCUCCAUGGCCUCUACUUCAGCUUCUGCCUCCAGGUUCCUGCUCUGGUUGAGUUCCUGUCCUGACUUCCUAUGAUGAUGAACAAUGAAGUGGAAGCAUGAGCCAAACAAACCCUUUCCUCCCCAGCUUACUUUUUGUUCACAGUGUUUCAUUGCAGCCAUAGUAACCUGAACUAAGACCAUUUUGGAAAAGUUGAGUUUCUCCAGGUAUUUACAUGGAAGCACAUCCUAAAGCCAAGCUAGUGUGCCACACCUGUACUCUCAGCACUUGGAAAGCAGAAGCAGGAGAAUUGCCACAAGUUCAAGACCAACCAAGUCUAUAUAUGGAGUUCUAGACAAGGCAUGACUACAUAUUAUAAUGGUUAAAAACCCAUCAUCCCACCAUGAAAAGCUGUGAGACUGAAAUCAGCAGGAAAUGCUUGGAGCUGCUUGUCUGUUUCAAGGGGCCACUGCCAACAGAGCCACAUUCCAUCUGAGUUGAGUUGCGAAUAAAUGGCGUGAUAAAUAAAUAAAUGGUUAUAAUAUCGAAAACUA